rnacentral:rRNA from 1 species
GACGAACGCUGGCGGCGUGCCUAAUACAUGCAAGUCGAACGCUGAAGGAGGAGCUUGCUUCUCUGGAUGAGUUGCGAACGGGUGAGUAACGCGUAGGUAACCUGCCUGGUAGCGGGGGAUAACUAUUGGAAACGAUAGCUAAUACCGCAUAAUAGUAGAUGUUGCAUGACAUUUGCUUAAAAGGUGCAAUUGCAUCACUACCAGAUGGACCUGCGUUGUAUUAGCUAGUUGGUGGGGUAACGGCUCACCAAGGCGACGAUACAUAGCCGACCUGAGAGGGGGAUCGGCCCAACUGGGACUGAGACCCGGCCCAGACUCCUACGGGAGGCAGCAGGAGGGAAUCUUCGGCAAUGGACGGAAGUCUGACCGAGCAACGCCGCGGGAGUGAAGAAGGUUCUCGGAUCGGAAAGCUCUGUUGUAAGAGAAGAACGAGUGUGAGAGUGGAAAGUUCACACUGUGACGGUAGCUUACCAGAAAGGGACGGCUAACUACGUG